rnacentral:lncRNA from 1 species
GUUUUGGAUUUAUGGGGCUUUAUUCAUAAAAAAAAGGGGGAUUUUCAACACUUCGGACAAUAACUCAAAAAGGCUUUCACCAAUGUCCAUGAAACUUUGGUGAAUUGUUUAUAUCUAUUGAUGAAAGCUCCCUUUCAAUUCUUAUAAAUUUCAGAUUUUAAGUUUUGGAUUUAUGGGGCUUUAUUCAUAAAAAAAGGGGGAUUUUCAACACUUCGGACAAUAACUCAAAAAGGCUUUCACCAAUGUCCAUGAAACUUUGGUGAAUUGUUUAUAUCUAUUGAUGUAAGCUCCCUUUCAAUUUUUAUAAAUUUCAGAUUUUACAUUUCCGUGUUAUGAAUUUUUAUGCUUAAAAAAGGGGGG